AUCACACGACUCCCCUACGUUUGUGCGCGCCUCCGCCGAGGGUGACAGCGUGUCGCUCGGUUGCAGAGACUAAACCGCGUUACACAGGCGGGUGGUGCAUUGUGUAAAUAUGCAUGUGGCUAAGCCGAAGAGCUCGACUCGGCGAAAUCGAGCGCGCUUGAGAACGACGACGACACGACGUCAAUGGGCGUCGAACCAAGACUCGUCGUCGUUAUCAUCGUUCGACGUCAUUACCGUGAGCCGUCGAAGCGAAUACUCCAUCUGCCAAAGUAGUAAUAUCAUGGACCGUCGUCUUUGUACUCAUGAUGGCUCGUUAACGAUCCGGCAAUAAUAUUUCACCCUCGUAUCGAUACCACUGAACUAUUCGAAGAUCGCUUUCGACCUACAAGAUGCAGCGUCAAGAAAAGUUUGAACUAAUUCUGAGUUCAAGACGCGAACGAAGAAAAAAAUAAAAGAUUCAGCACGCGAGAGAGAGAGAGAGAGAGAGAGAGAGAGA
rnacentral:lncRNA from 1 species